rnacentral:lncRNA from 1 species
AGAAAAGCUGAGAUAGGUGGGCAAGAAAGGCUUUCUAGAAGACAAGAUGAAAGUGCAUAUGUGUCAGGUAGGUGAGUGGGGGGUGAACAGGGGGCAGCAGGACCAGUGGCAGUAUUUAGGAAUAGCAGGCUUGGGUGAAUUUUAAGUAAAAUUCAGUCUUCAGUGGAGACCUUAACUCUUACAUCUUUUGCUUUGUAUCUUUUGUAGUCACAAGUCCUGCAACUGGUUUGAAGGCAAAUUCCAAGCCAGCAAGGCAGUGGGAGGGGAGGGGGGGUAAAAGAAAAAUGUGGCACCCCUUUUUGAAAAAGGGCUGCAACCAUUUAGUGGAUUAUUUAACAUUGUGGAAUGCAAUAGGUCAGAGACUGGCUCACCUUUCAGUGUAACUGCAACCCCAACGAGCAAUCUCUGAAAUUGCUUGAAGACAUUUGGACCAGCAAAUGCAUAUGCAUCAGGGCCUGCUUAAAGAUUUAAAGGAUAAGCUGGUUAAUAGAAUUAAUUUGAUAUAUCUGGUAUAAUUCAGUGGAGCACAUGAGUGUGCUUCAGCACUCAGAACGGGUGGGAAUGGAACAAAUCCUUGCACUGGUCAUUAAAGAAGGAUUAGUUGGUCUCUUGAAAGGGUAAGCCCAUGGCUUCCACUCCUCUCUAGCUGUAUGUACAAUGGAUGUCUUGGUAAAUAGUUACGUUACAGACAAUUUAUGAGGAAUUUAGACUGUUGAAAUAUAUUCCCACCCACCUACCUUGCUCCCUCCCUCCCUCCUUUCUUCUUUCUUUCUUCUUCCUUCCUUCCUUCCUUCCUUCUUGCCACUACAUACUCAUUGCAUGGCCUUAUCUGAUCCCUUUGUUUUAUCUCUGAAGCCAAGAGGGUAUGCAGAGAAGACCCAAGCAUUAUACACCCAUCUUUUAUGAGAUGGGACAGGUAGGCACAAGUCAUCCCCACCCUUGUCUGGGGGUGAGGACCCUGGAGGACACAGUGGCUAGCUGCCUCAGAUUAAAAUAUGGCCUGGCCCAGUACCGAGGAUGCUGCUAGGAGCUGAGAGGUAAGUCAGCCAAAAGAAUUGAAUAUUUAUUGCAGUUCACCAAGAUGUCAAUGUCUCCAUAUUUUUCAGCUGAAACCCGACUUUGUGGAACCAAAUGUCUAGUUUUUUUUGAAGGUGAUUCAAAACAGGAGUAAAUUGUAUUUUUCUGGGAGAAAUAAGUGGUUCUCCUCAUUUUGUGAUGCCAAAUUAGGGAGACCUUUGGCCCAGGAAAAGGAAAGAAUGGUCGGGAGGAAGUUUUAAGAUGAGAAAAGUUCUUUUUAUGCCAUUCACAAUGAUAUAGUUUUUUAAAAUCCCUCAUAUAUGAUAUUUUAAGGUAUAAAACUGGAAAAGUGGAACACUUUUUCACUCUGGAAAAUGUAAUUUGGGAAUUAAUGCUGAGUAUUUCUGCUGGGUCUGUGUCUAUGGCCUGCAUGAUCAUCAACAUACUUUGUUACUGAGAAGAAUAUUUGAGGGAAAUUUUCACAAAAGAAAAAAAAAGGCAUACAUUUUCUAUUUGCACAAGAGGAUGUCAUGGCUCUGUUAUGGGGAGUCUCCUAGAUCCAGUAUUGUGACUGGUAGAUAGGAAUCAUGUAGAAAACAAAACAGAUGAAAAAUCACAUGGUGAUGUGAUUGAGGACUCUUUUGACCCAAAUGGUAUAUAUAUUAAUUCACUGUCUUGAAUACAUUCUCUUUCUAAACUAGAGUUCGUCUUGGAAGUCAGCCAUUGUUUCCAUGUUGCCUUCCCACUCCUCUUAAAAUAUGAACAGGUGGAAACUUGGGUCUAGAGCAAAAAGAUGGCCCAGGCAGAUGGCUCAGAUCUGAUUGGUCUUGGGCAAGUCCCUUGGCCUCAUCUGCCUCACAGUCCCUGACUGUAAAGUGGGGAGAGCGGUGCUCAGUGGCUAUGGAGCUUCAACGAGAAUGUUUUGACAACAAGUGGCAUGGUGACAUGCAGCUCAAAUCUUCAAUAUCAUCCAACCUUCUUCCUUUUGCUCUUCAACAAAAAUCCUGACUCACAUACCGUGUGUGCCCAGUAAGGACAAGCUUUGCAUUGCACGAAAGCUCUGCUCCUGAGUCAGUGAGGAAGCCCCUUGUCUACCUCAGUGGCAGCCUCUUGGCUAUUGCACAGGGUCCUCAGGCAGUCCCAUAGCUGUUUGCAAUGUAAAUGGUGCUGACAAAGCCCAGGGGCAGGGUUGUGGCAGAGCAUCCCUCUCUACUCUCACCCAACAGGACUUUUCUAUGCCAGAACAGAUAGGAUCUCUGUUGGAUCCAAACAGGUCAAGGAAGAAAGGCAAAGAGAAAUGAGGAAAGAAGACAGAGGGCAAUAGGGGGAUAAAGAGAGAGGAAUGCAAUAAAUGUGUUUUUGAAACUCUCUUCUAAUUCUUUGGGGAAAAAAAGACAGCAGUGUUGAGCUAAUGCCCCCAAAAUAGAUCUGAGCAAACAUUUGCCAAUGAUCUGGAAAUGAAAAAUCUUUCCUGACACUUCUCUUUAAGUCGUAGUGAACAUGCGACUCUGGGAAGGAGGGUAGUGCAGAGCCCAGGUCUUGCCUACCCGUUGGAAGGUUCCCUCAGGGAGCCCUGCCGAAGUUUAGACCUGGCUUGUGAUGAGAAGACCUCUGAAUACUGUGGUUUGGGAUUUUGCUUGUGCUUAAUUUUCAUCUGUGAUUUUGUCUCAUCCCCAAGAAAACCAGGCCUUGCCUAAUCGAAAUCAGACAGCUAGGCCACACACACUGGCAAACGUGCAUGCCAUCUUGGCUCUCUUUACAAAGCUCAUGGGCCUCUCUUCAGAGGAAGGGAAGAGGGAGGUAGAAAUGGGAGUUAAAGGGUGAUCAGUCUUCCUCUUGUCUUUAAAUCUAAACCAACAAUUUAUACUCUUGAGUUAUUCGGGGGGAAUGGUAAUUGACAUUAAUAAAAGAAAUGAUGGUAUGUAAAAUAAGUUUGGGAUGUGGGCUUAAUGUCUUUGUUUUGUUUUUCCUGGAAGGACAUUGAUGCGCUGAAGGUGGAUGUGCUGACUCUCACUCCUGUUGGUUGGACUGUCAACAUGGAUUGACACUGACCUGUCAGCGUGAUUGACACACUACUCCUUGUUCCUCCUGUUCCCACUCGAGAUGCCGCUCUGUCUUGGUUCCCUCCCACGUUAUUGGCAUUGUCUUCCUCUUGGGGAGACUUGGGCUCAGUCUCAGUCCCUCCCCUGUACUGGGAGCAUGGGCUCAUUGUGUGGUCACCCUGGUUUCCAGCCUUAACUACCGUACAUUUGCUGAUAUCUUCAGCAUUCUCUCCCACCAAUUAUCUUGAUUCACAUUUUCAAUGACAUAAGUGACACUUAUAUGUAAAUGAAUAAACGUAUCACACACGCAAAUAUCUAGUAAACAUCCAACAGGUAAUAGCCCCACACUUUGGAUUUCUUCCCUCCCUCUUUAUUCUCUACCAACAGCUCUUGAUCUCAAUAUAGUUUUGUGUGAAAAGUACCUUUUGAUGCAGGGUACCAUUUUCCUAUUACUUAGGGCAAACAUAUAGGACUCAUCCUUGAGUCUUCUCAUUCCCUAAAUUCUACAUCUAAAUUGACUCCAUGUCUUAACUACAUUUCUUUCAAAAUAUGUCCUGAAUCUGUUUUUUUUACCACUGAUGUUUCAUUCCAAGACAUGGUCAUCUUUUGCAUAGACAGCUGUGAUUGUCUUCUGACCAGUGCCUCCAGGACACACUCGCUCUCCAAAGCCAAUUAACAAAGCUGCAUGAUUAAAAACUAGCCAACCAAACUAGCAAACACACAAGCAAACAGAAAUCAGCUCAUGCUACUUUCCUCUUCAAACACCUCCCACGAUUUCGGACAAGAAUGAAUGAUGAACUCUCCCCCAUCUCUUAAAGUCCCAUGAGUCUGACUCCCACUUACCUCUCUGACCUCAUAGAUCACUACUGUCCCUCUUACUUUCCUGAAGACACAUCAGUGUUUUAUCUACUCUGAACAGGACCAUUAAUCUUAGGACCUUUGCACUGGCUACCACUGGUCAGGACUGUUUGUCUCAGAUCAUCAAUAGCUUUUUGUCACUAGUUCACUGAAACAAUAAGUAUUUUGGCUUCUCUGACUCUCAGAUGCCCCUUUCUGUGAGAUGAUGUAAGGAUAGCCUUAGGCCUUAGGAUAGCCUAAGCAACUCCAUUUUAAAACUCCAGUUUGAAACCUGCAGUCUCACCAGGUACCACUAUGGAGCCCUCCAGUAUGGCCCUCAGGCACAAACAAGUCACUUCUCUCCACCCUGACAAACUCAGAGUGAAGUCUCUGUUUUUUUUUGCCCUCGCCCUGAUAAGAGCUAGAAGCAAGAAAAUCAGGGCGGGGACCACCAGACCAGAUGCUUUAACCUCAGGAUGAAUGACGUCACUGAGAAAUCAAGUAGUAGCUAACGGGGAUUGAAAGGGUGGUCAGAAGCCCCCAAAUUUAGUAUAAAUAAUGGAGCAAAUGAACAGACAUUUAGCCAGCCGACACUGAUGCACAUAAGCCUGAGAGCCUGAGGAGGACCUGGACUGACAUCCCAACUCUUCUCAGCAGCCUGAUCCUCUGCGUUGUUCUCAAGGCUCUCAAACUCUACAGCAGCCUUUUGACUCUGGUGAGACAAGGACUCAGCUCCACCCCAGGAAAAGCCUGCCUUGGUUCCUGAUCUGAUCACAUGGUCUGAGUGAGUGUGCAUCUGCUGGACUUAGAGCUUAAGGCUUGAGACUUUUGAUGUGACAUUUGAGCUUAGCAUGCAGAGGGAAUGUCUGCCAUGAACCUGGCAUGAUUAAGUGUGUUUGCAAUGCUUAGAAGCAAUCUAGAAUUGUUUGCUGUGAAUUAAUUAUGUCCAUUUCAGUGCCUAGCAUUGAGGAUUGUCAUUUUCUUGAUUAAGAAACUAUAGAGUGAAAUUGUAUUGAGUGAUUUGAAUGAAUAAAGCAUUGAAAAGGACAGAAGUGCGUGGA